rnacentral:lncRNA from 1 species
AAAAGGUAUUUAAGUAGUUGGGCAUGGUGGUGUGGUAGCGCACACCUGUGGUCCCAACUACUUGGGAGGCUGCACCAGGAGGAACGCUGGAGCCAGAGAGGUAGAGGCUGCAGUGAGCUAUGAUCACACUGCUGUGCUCCAGCCCGGGCAACAGAGCAAGACCUUGUCUCAAAAAAAAAAAAUUAAUUUUGAUGUUAAAUGAAAAAGUAAAACAAAUGCAGUGUGCGUGUAUACAUGUAGUAUAUAUGAAAAUGCAUGUACUCCCAGUUGCACAGCCACUGAACAAUUCGAAAAAAAUGCAAUUUUUUUUGUUCAGAAUAGUGGGAUUCUACUGCUUUUCAUUGUCUUUAAACUGUUUUAAGUGUUCUGUAUUGUUACAACGUUCUCGAGUAUUCCAAUGGCUGUUACUUUUAUAAUUAUAAAAGAAUAAGCAUUUUUAAAGAACAGAUAUAUCUUAUUUCAAAAACAAGGGUUUUUCGUUUACCAGAAUAGCUGCAAGAAAAGUUAUAUUAGUUUCUUUGGUGUUUUGAGGAAAGAAUUGAACAUUUUUGCCUUCAGUGGUGCCUUUUUCACCACUAGGACUUCCUUUUCUUCAGACAUUCCCCCUAAUCCAGCGGUCCCCCACCUUUUUGGCACCGUGGACGAGUUUCGUGGAAGACAGUUUUUUUCCACAGAUGGGGAAGGGGAGAUGGGGGAUGGUUUCGGGGUGAAACUGUUCCACCUCAGAUCAUCAGGCAUUAGUUAGCUUCUCAUGAGGUGUGUGCAGCCUAGAUCCCUCACAUGCACAGUUCACGAUAGGGUUUGUCCUCUGAUGAGAAUCUAAUGUCGCUGUUGAUCUGACAGCCACAUCUAACUUGGGAAGGUGGGAGAUGAGGUUCUCUUGCGGAGUGACUAUAGAUACAACUAAUACUUGGAUAUUUGGCAGUUCUAAUAAUAAAACAGGAAUGUUCUUUGGACAACUGUGACACAAUCUACUCCUCUGGCCCCUCAAAUAUCCAUGGAUACCCUUGUGACACAUAGAACACACCCUGUUUGAAGAGAGAAAACCCAGCAUUCUAAGCAGUUACUGCAUCCAGCUCAGCGUCCAUGAUCUAAAGAUGUAACAGUCCCUUACAAGUCUGAUAUAACUCCUCAUGGUCCAAUGACCUACAGAGUAAAUUAUGUUAUUUAUUCCCCUUUCUCUUCCCCACACAGCCAGUAUGCAGUGGUGAAGUAGGGCACGAAAACUAAUUUGGAAGAAGAGUGAGGACAAAAUAGUAGUUCUUUGUCUAAGCGAAUGUGAAGAGCAGAUUAGACUACAAAGCUUGCUGUACUUACAAUGUGUCCAAAAGUACAAGCCAGAGUGUCAUAUUUAUCAGGACACUGAAGGAAUGCAAAUUGUUCCACUAUGGUCUUUUGAGAGAUCACAUAAAACAGAGGAAAAUGUAGUCGUCGUCUAUUGUUAUGAAGAAAUGGCUCAUCUUAUAAAUUAUAUUUUGGUUGCUUUAUGGAAAUACCUACCAAAUCACAGUGUGACUGCAGCAAAUGUGGUUUUUUGGAAGAGCGCAGCCUGUCCAAUCAAUCUAAUUUCCUCAAGAGCAGGAUAGCUGUCUUUUAGAUAAAGGCAAAGAAUUAUAUGUGAAAUAUCUGAGUUUCAGCAAGUCUUUAUUCUAAUGAAUACGAUUCUGCCACAAAGAAUGGAGUCAACAUAGUCUGGUGCUGACUGCAUUGCUGAUGGAGAAGUUGCACUUGAAAAGAGGCUGUCUUUUCAACUCUGUGUUUAUUUGUAUUAAAUUAAAAGAAAACCAGCCUUUAGGGCAAACACA